GGGUCAAUAUAAUUGAAAAUCAUGCAUUAGUGAUCUUUGUUUUUGUUUAAUUCUCAAAAGAUUUAAUCACAUUCUGUUCUAUUUUCAGCAGAUACUUUAAUAAUAAAGAAUGGGUGAAUAAAUUCUCAAAUCAUGCUGCAUAACAGUACAUUUCAACUGUAACAAAACAAAUUAUCUGAUGAAAGCUUCAACCAUCUAGGAAAGGAUGUCAAGCCCAAAGAGAAGGCCAUAUAACAAAUGGUUGCCAAAUUCAUGAAGACUAACUGGGAUGAUACAGUACGUUUCUACUCUUAUGAACCACAUCUAAACAUCAUUUGAGGAUCCCUUUCUCAGAAAAAAAGAAUUUGCAUAUUCAAAGACUAUAUAGUUUAUUGUUAAUUGUACAUUGUUUAACAUUCUUCUUGAGAAUUUUUCACUCAUAUGGGGAUGCCAAUUUUAUAUUUGCCGGUGAAGAGCUGCAAAUUUUGUCCUUUACUUGGCACACAUGGUUAAUUGAGCAAUGAGGGAUCUUUUUGGUGCUAGCACCUACUGCAACACAGGACCUCUGUAUUUACAGUUUCAUCUCUAUGUCCGACUCUGGGAUUUUGAACCAGCAAUUUAAGGAUCAACUCCUUACUCAUGACUCUCAAGCAGACGCUCUUGCCACUGUCCCAUGCAGGUGACUUCAUAGGUUUUAAAAUAAUAAGAUAAGAUUUAUAACUUGAAACUGAUUUUUUUUAAUUCAAUCACAGUAUAGAAAAUAUUUGCAAAAAAAGGGAUGUAAUGGCUACAUGUAGCUCUCACUGGUAUUGCAUG